UACGUAGGGGGCAAGCGUUGUCCGGAAUCAUUGGGCGUAAAGCGCGUGUAGGGCGGCUCGAUAAGUCUGCUGUGAAAGUUCAGGGCUCAACCCUGAAAUGCCGGUGGAAACUGUCGAGCUAGAGUCCGGAAGAGGCGAGUGGAAUUCCUGGUGUAGCGGUGAAAUGCGCAGAUAUCGGGAAGAACACCCGUGGCGAAGGCGGCUCUCUGGGACGGUACUGACGCGUGAGACGCGAAAGCGUGGGGAGCGAACGAGGA
rnacentral:rRNA from 1 species